CUUAUGGUCAUAGGGUGUGUA
rnacentral:siRNA from 1 species